GACGAACGCUGGCGGCGUGCCUAAUACAUGCAAGUUGAGCGCUGAAGGUUGGUACUUGUACCAACUGGAUGAGCAGCGAACGGGUGAGUAACGCGUGGGGAAUCUGCCUUUGAGCGGGGGACAACAUUUGGAAACGAAUGCUAAUACCGCAUAAAAACUUUAAACACAAGUUUUAAGUUUGAAAGAUGCAAUUGCAUCACUCAAAGAUGAUCCCGCGUUGUAUUAGCUAGUUGGUGAGGUAAAGGCUCACCAAGGCGAUGAUACAUAGCCGACCUGAGAGGGUGAUCGGCCACAUUGGGACUGAGACACGGCCCAAACUCCUACGGGAGGCAGCAGUAGGGAAUCUUCGGCAAUGGACGAAAGUCUGACCGAGCAACGCCGCGUGAGUGAAGAAGGUUUUCGGAUCGUAAAACUCUGUUGGUGGAGAAGAACGUUGGUGAGAGUGGAAAGCUCAUCAAGUGACGGUAACUACCCAGAAAAGGACGGCUAACUACGUG
rnacentral:rRNA from 1 species